GGCAACUUCUGUCUCUAUGGUGAGCUCAUACUUAGAACCAGAACCUUAGAAAGGCAAGAAAGAGGAUUGGCUGUGGAUGAAUAUUUAAAUGAAGGGGUGAGGGAGGCAUGGAGAGAAUCAAUAGAUGGGGAAAAGACUAUAAUAAAUGUCUGGCUUUCCAGUGGCUCCCCUCCCCCAGUGACUAUUACUUUAUAAGUUAGGUAAUUCUUGUUUCAGAUCUAUUCCACUUGUUCCUGUUAGAGCUAAAUAUAAUUUCCUGCACCAUCUGACUCCUUCAUCACUACCCUAUGACCAUGACAUCAUCUGAAAGGGUCAAUUUGAUGUUGGAAGAGAGUGGCUGGACCUGGUCUGUGGGGACUUCCCGAAGUUGGGCUCUGCCUUUGACCUGGGACUCCAGCAAAGGUAAGGCUUUGCUCUUAUGUCUCUUUUAAUAUUAAUGUAGCUGCUCUUCCUUUUUAAAAAUUAAUGAUUACACAAUAUAUCUCUUUUCUAUCCUUUUCCUUUCAAUUUAUCUAUGUUGUUAUGUUUGGUUUGUGCUUUUCUAGAUAA
rnacentral:lncRNA from 1 species